rnacentral:lncRNA from 1 species
UCUAUAAUCUGCUGGCAGCAAAAGUAAGUCGAGUAAAUAUUUUCAUGGCGUAUAACAGUUAAAACUAUUAAUUCGCUUUCAUCAGUUUAAAAUUAAAUAAUAUUCUUUGAAAUUGUGGUAAUUUAUUGUGCUAACUGACGACUGAAAAGGUGGUAUUUUUAAAAUCACGUGAUGUACUUUUGUGUCAGUUGCAGGAAGUGUUGCGACAGGUACUGCAAUUACUUCUUCGUUGGGAGCGGAUUAUUCUGGAUGGAGUGCCGAAAAUAAGUUUUAUCGAUAUCUAUAUAGGAAAAAACUUUGCUAUGGAUCUUCGUAAGAAUCGAAGUUGUUGCUUUAGUGACACUCAGCAUUCUUCCUACGCCUCGGGAGUUUAUACUCUCGUAAGUAAACUGAUAUUUUUGUUUAUAGCAGUGAUGUCAUUAGGGAAGCGCGGCCCACGCUGGGCGACACGCAAUGUUUACAAACGUUUGUUAAAAAAUUACAUUUUUGACAAUUUUUCAAAUGUAAGCCCUUUUUAAUACGUUCACGAGCAAGUCUGUAUAUGUAUGUACUGUAUGUAAUGCUUUUAAUGUUUAGAAUUUAACAAUUAAUGAUAUCCCCUAUGAACGCCUUAAAUCGAUGCUUUCUAAGUAUGAUAGGAUUGCAAAGCCUGGAAAAAAUGGCAUCAAUCGAUAGGGAGGUCGAGAUAUGCAGAAUGGCUCUAGUAAA